UUUGUGUUGCUAUGUUGACCUCCAUACUCAUUUAAUCGGCUGAGUUGAUCUUGUCCAGUGUGCUCCGUAAUUAGGCAGACCAAAUUCAGGACUUUAAAGUUUUCUCCCAACAAAGCAGUGGGGAAAACAACUACAUAAUUUUUAACCAGGCUUAAAUCCUGGGAGAUCCGCUAUAAGUGGAGAGUUUAAAUGAACAAGCAAACUGCAUUUAGGAUAAUGAAUGGGAUAUAUGCUUUUCAAUGUAUUUAAUUCUAACUACAAAUACAUAACAUAAAGUCUCAAGUUCUAUAUUGUCUAGUUGAAUUUGUAUAAAAGAUGACUUCAGCAUUUUUGCCUUUUCUUCUGAAAACAAGAUAUGCUACGGGCAUUGUUAUGAAUCUUAUGAUGUAUUGAGCAGAAUAACAUAUCAAUUGAAUGGAGCAUAUUGUGGUACAUGUGAUCUUGCAUGCCUUUUAUAUGAUGGAAGCUGUAAAUUCAACUAUUUUCAAUUCUGUCACAAGCAUGAUAUCUAUACAUUGCCCUAAUUGGUGAACUCUUUUCAUUUCAGAGGUGUAUUCCCCGCGAGACUUUGGAUGAGCAUUUUGUAAUUCACAUGGUAAUUCCGAACAUGUGAUUUUUUACCACCUAAAUAUGUUCAGUGCCAUCUUCCACAUAUGAAUUUUUAAUUCCUUUAAUGUUUUAUUGGCUCUUUAUGGUACUAUUACAUUUUCUGGAAAAGACUCAUAGAUGCAUAUUUUUCUACUUGAUAACUAUAUCUCAUUUUUUCUUGAAAAUGUGGUAAUUGAACUAAAUUACAUUAAAUCAAAUAGAAUAUCGCAGACCUAGGUCUACAAUUUCGAUACCGAGUAUUGUAUUGAUACAUUAUCAGUUUAGUAUGGUAUGGUCAGUACGAUAUAGUAUGCACCUCGUACUAAGACAGUUUUCGAUAUCACAGUACUGCCUAAAACUAGCCAAUACAGGUUGGUACUAUACAUACCCCGAUUUUGUGCGAGUGUUGGGCUGUAUGGGCUGGUUCCAUUUAGUUCGGAGUGAUAUGGACUAGUUCAACUCAUAUACUGAAUUGAACCUCGGUAUUGUACCGAUACCUAUGUUAUGAUAGGUACAUGUUAGUACGGCAUACCUUGAUACAGACAUUCUAAAUGAAUGAAUCUCCAAUUUCAUGUUGAAGUUGUCCUUCAAAAUCCUAAUGGCAAUAUUGCUCCAUUGCCUUGUUUGCUACCCCAUUUCGAUUAUGGUCUCUCUGGUUGCGAGACAAGCUGUUUGGAAAAUGUAGUUUCCUUAGAAAGCCUAGCCUUCCAUUUGUUUUUUCGACAAAAAAAUUGAAAAUUCUUUUAUAGUCAAUUAUACAUCUCUGAAUUUUUUUUCCAAUUCAUUGGAAUUGCCAAUUUCCCUUUCCUUUUCCAUAGAUUUCCUUGCAUCCAAACAAACCGUGUUGGAUGGCUUUGCAGCCAAACUGGAACUCUGGGUUGAUAAAUGAAGGUUUUGAAAUGAAUGGUUGGGGGCCUUAAUAUGGGAAAAGUGGAAAACUUUUAAAGGCUUCUGGGAAGCAUAUGAGAAAGGAAGUUUAGCUGGAACUUAUGUGUUUUUGAGGAAAAUAUAUAACUCGAACAUAUUCUUUCUGGCAUCUAUUUUGGCAGCCAGCACAAUUUGAUUAAAGAAUUCAGUGAGUGACAGUGUAGUUCAGUAGUAGUCCUUUUAGUAGUGCAAUCUGUUUUCUGUUGAAAAAGCAUUGAUCACCAAUCACUUUUAACCAUUGUUACAUAACAGAAUUUCUAAACUAAACUGCACAUUUUCUGAUGUUAUUGCUCUCAUUAAAUUCUUAAUAUUCGUGUUUCUUUCACAGGAUGGUGGGAAUAUUUUGGCAGUGAACUAUGGUUCUGCUGGUGCUUGCCAGUACCCACGCUCACUAAAUUAUGUAAGUUAUGAUCAACCCCUCUUAAUAUAUUACACUUUCUAAUAGUUGUUAGCAUUCACUUAAUCCAAACUCUUCUGUAGCUAAUUGCUCAAGGGGAAAAUUGCUAUCUGGGGUUGUCAAUGCUGCCAUGUUCGGUUAAUGGUUGUGACAAGUUUUCAGAGCAUGGAGGACUCUAAAGCUCCCUAAACCUUGAAAUUUUCUAUUAGCCUCCUAUUUUUAACGACCAAAUCACGAUGCUACCGAGAACUAGAUUUUCUAUUCUCCACGCAUUUUCUAUCAAUCCAGAAAACUAGCUGCAUGAUUUUCUCUCUGUUUUUUUUGAAAAGAAAUGGGCUGAGACCCAAAUUUGUUAGGUGUACUGGAGCUCACUGUGCUUGUGCAACCUAUUGAAAGAUUUAAACCUUUCUUUUUUGUAAGAGUAACAGCCACAAAGAAGCUUCUCUGUACAAUCACUAAACAAUAUUGUCCAAGUUUAGUAGGCACCAGUUUAGCUGGACUAGUGUUGAACCUCAGGGGAUACUAUCUGAAGACCAUAAUACCUUCAAACUCUAAUCCCAUUAUUACAAUUCAUGAUCUGAUCUUGCUUUAUGCAUCUUUACUCUAGGAAUCAUCAUCGUUCUAUGUUACUGGUGUAGUUCUUUAAUAUCUCAUAACUUCUCGUAAUAUCUGUUCCUUUUUGUACUCUCUAUGGAACUCUUCAAAUUGAUACUUCUGCAGUUCCCAAAGACUUGAUCCAUGUUCUCAAACUUGCCCUUACCCUAGACCGGGAUCCCAAUUCCACUUUUUACUGUAUGUUACAUAAAAUCAAAUUUUUAUAUUUUGCUACCCAAACCUUUCAAGUUCAUCUAAUUUAAACAAAUUAGACAGUUUCCUUACAACACCAUUACCUGAUUCUAGUGAAAUCUUUAAUUGGUAUUGGCCAAUUGCUUCUUUCUUCCAAAAAGCUUUAAUUGCUGGAGGUCGAGCAGUCCCAAAAAUAUUUCAUCGUCCUAGAAGCUUUAUGGUUUUCUUUUGGUGUUUACAAUUAUAAUGGGAUUUACAUAGUCCAUUAAGUAUUAAAUUUCGACUAUUUUUCCUUUCUUUUCUACAGUUGAAAAGAUAGACAGCUAGAUUCAUGGAUAGAUAUAUAAUAAGCAUAAUCCUUGACGUGUUAAGACCUCUGUAAAGGCUCUUAUUGGUUAUUACAAUACUUCGUAAAGAUUAAAGAGCAAGUAGAUGCAAGCCAUUUCAUAAGAAUAACUUAUUUUUACAUAAAAUAGAUGUAGCACUCUUUAAUUACAUAUAUCUGAUACUUAAACUCAUAAAUGAGAGAAAUGCCAAACUUUAAUAUUCAUUUGAAUUCUACUAAAUGUGAAUAAAAAUAUUUAAAUGCAGAAGGCACUAAAAAGUUUUAGAAUUGCUAAUAAUGAAUUUUUGAACAUUUAAAGUUUGAAGUUUUUAAACAGAUUUACGCUACCACAAGAUUAUGACAACCACUUAGUGCAUGCGGUUGAGAUAUCAAAACUCAAAAUGUUAAGAGAUCGGGUGGGCAGCAUCUAAGAAGUAAAUAACAUUUAUUCAUAAUAAAAAUUACCAACAUAUUUAAUGAAUUUCAUUCAUAUGCAAUACUAACUUCAGACUUAAAAUGUCAAAACUACACAAGUAAAGAGCCUAUAUACCUAUAUUAUUUAUUUUUUUGAAUUCUUUCUUGUUUUUUUUUUUGACCAAAACUUUGAGGUUUGGAACAAAACUUUCAAACCUGCUGAGACUACUGAAAUUGAAACUUCACAUAUGUCGUUCAAAGCGAAACUAAGUUUUCGAACCUUGUCAGUUAGACCAGGAUGGUAUAGGCCCAUACCCCCAUGAAAGCUUGUGGAUGGUUGGAUGCUAAUGCUUGGAUGCAUCAUGGUUAAGACUUCACUUGUGGUGGUAAUUCCUUGGGCUUGUUAUUGGUUAUACUUGAUCUCAGAUACAUCAUGGUUAAGACUUCUCUUAUGGUGGUAAUUCCUUGGGAAUUGUUAUUAGUGAUGGAUGAUGGUGGGGACACAGACCACCGUUUCCAGCAUGUGUAUAGGCGUCGCCGACGUGCAUAGCACUUCGGCCACCCUAGUUUUAUUUUCUUGUGUAUUUUCGUUUAUUUAUUAUGUAUUUUCGUCUUUUGUUAGUUGCUGGUUUGUAUGACUGUAUUUAGCUAGUGUAGUGACCCAUGAUGUUGUUGGAUCAUGGGUAGUUACAUGAUCAUUUGUGGGGAUCAUGGAUAGUUGCAUAGGGGGGUAUAUAUGGCACCCCCAUAUCACCUGUUUUAGUUAAAAUAUUUUGAAAUGAAAACUUUGUCUUGACAUCUGGUGGACUCUAGAACUUCCCUCCCCUCCCCUUUCUAUUCUCAUUUUCUUCCCUAAAUCAUCUGUCCCGCAUCAGUUUGGUAUCAGAGCCCCCCCGGUUUUGCCACUAUUGCCAAAACCUCUCCCAUUCUGGGCUGCAGUGGGACAGAAUACACACAAAAAAAAACAUCAUGUUGCUGUCUCCUUGUUCCCGAAAACUCCCACAGAAGUUUCACCCUGUGUAUGGCGGAGCAGCGCCGGAUUCCUGGAUUCAGGUGGGCGCACGAGAUCUACGUUGUACCCUGACCACCACGGACGCCGGAGCGUGUUGAAGGACCACGCCCAACUCGUGUGACCAAAAGGAAGGAGCCUAGCUUUCCUUUUUUCAUCUCUGUCACUCGGUUCCACCGUAGCAGCCGCAGACCCCACUCACAGAGAAGAGAUCCGGGGAGAGCAACGGUGCUCAGAGCGGGUGGCCGGCCGCCAUCCACCACCGUAGGCCACGGGAUCCACUCUGCAGCGGUAGCCACAGAGUUCGGAACCACCUUCCGAAACCGUUAGGAGGUUGAAGGAGCACUGGUUAACGGGUAAGUCCCUCACCCGUUACCCAGUUUAUUAGCCCGGAUCCACUCCAAAAAAAAAAAGAAAAAAGAAAGCACGUGAGUUGCACGUGCCCCAACCCACGUGAGGCCCACGUGCUUCAUCGCACGUGAGUCGCAUGAGUUAGUCAAAAAAAAAACUGUGUACCUUUCUUCCCCGAGAACUCCAUCGCAGAGNNNNNNNNNNNNNNNNNNNNNNNNNNNNNNNNNNNNNNNNNNNNNNNNNNNNNNNNNNNNNNNNNNNNNNNNNNNNNNNNNNNNNNNNNNNNNNNNNNNNNNNNNNNNNNNNNNNNNNNNNNNNNNNNNNNNNNNNNNNNNNNNNNNNNNNNNNNNNNNNNNNNNNNNNNNNNNNNNNNNNNNNNNNNNNNNNNNNNNNNNNNNNNNNNNNNNNNNNNNNNNNNNNNNNNNNNNNNNNNNNNNNNNNNNNNNNNNNNNNNNNNNNNNNNNNNNNNNNNNNNNNNNNNNNNNNNNNNNNNNNNNNNNNNNNNNNNNNNNNNNNNNNNNNNNNNNNNNNNNNNNNNNNNNGAACUCGCAAAACUACCGUACUGUAAUCGUGGAUUAUAGUGAAAAUUCCCAAAGGUGAUUUGGAGAGUGGAUGUAGGAGCAGUGGAAGCUCCGAACCACUAUAAAACCUUGUGUUUGCGAUUGACCUUUCUCAUUCCUCCUUCUUUACUUUAGUGCAUAUAUUUGUGUGUUUUAUUUUUAAUUAGUCAAAAGUUUUUAAAACACCCAAUUCACCCCCCUCUUGGGUGACCAUCUCUGGGCAACACCCGCCUCAUAUGCCCAGGCUCUGCAACGAAUCUUCCGAUGUGGGACUUAUUGGACCUCACACCCUUCCCACCAUCGGACAGGAGCCGUCCUCAGCUCUGAUACCAAAUGUCACGCCCCUCCUGUGCGGAGCACGUGAGGCACCUAGUGCCCACGUGGAGGCCACAUGAGGGGGGAACACGGGCUCCUCUGCCAGAUAUUGUCUGGUUUCGGGUUUCACGCAAGCGUCCUUCAUCCCUCCUCGAUUUUGUUUUCCACCCAAAACGCGUCUGCGGGAUUUGAAGACACCCGCCUCAUAUGCUCAGGCUCUGAAAUGAGUCUUUCUGAUGUGAAACUAUUGGGCCUCACAGAGUCCUCCUCAAGGAAGACACUGUCCGCGCCCAGCACCUGUCUCGCAUGGAUAACACCCUUAGAAAUAAGCCCUUCCCAAAUUGUCCUCUAACUCUACCCUAGGACCGAGAUAUCAUGAAGUUUUCUUGAACCGGUUAAAAGCACAUGGCCAUUGUGGUCUUUAACAACGAAGCUAGCUCCACCUUAAUUACCUUGCAGAGGCCAUCAAAGUUAAUUUUGAGCAACCCAUAGGCCGAAGGCACCUAACAAACAUGCAAAAGAUAAGAUGAAGAGAAGCUACUCAAGCUGCAGAUGUCCCAGUGCCAGAAGUUACUUGACAGAAUAUCAAGCUUUUGAAGCCAACCUUAUAGCAUCUUCGGCAAUCAAGAAUGGAUUAGAAGCGUCAUUUUGAAACACUAGGCUAUUUCCAGCUGACAAAAGCAUCCAAGCAGUAUAAGUAAUAAUUGAUUGCAUCAUUGAGUUACCAAUAGGAACAAUAUAAUCUAAUAGGGCUUGCAAUAUAAUAUAAUAGCUAUAGUACCCAAACUUGUGGGAGAUCGCCCUUCAUGUGUCCUUUGGAAUAUGGCAACCAAUCAACAUUUGCUCAACAUCUUCAAGAAGGCCACAUACAUCACAACUAGCUAAGCAUUCAUCAGUGAGUCCUGUUUCAGCUGAUAAAGAUAUGCAAGGAAGUCUAUGCCACCCAAUUGUCCACAAAAAGAGCUCAACUCUAGGGGCUGCAAUCACCUUCUAAUUAGUAGAAAAUUUUCUUACAAUAAAAAGUGGAGACAAAGUGGGUUUCUUCUAAUAAAAGUAUGGGCUAUUUACAAAAUUUGAAAAUAGAAAAUAGAUUUUCUAUUUUCAAAUUUUUUAUAACAAAAACUAUAUUUGAUUUUUUUUAUUUUUUUAAUAAUGAAUAGUUGGAAGCAUGGAACCGAGCAAGAAUUGAGAGAGUGGAAAGUGGGGCAACUGGGGACAAUGUAAUGGGAGUUGCUCGAACGGUAGCCUAGACCAAUAGGUACUCGAAAUGAAUGAACACCACUAUUUCUUAGAGAAUGAACAAAUGAACGAAAAAAUGAACAAAAAGAUGGAUGGACAAUGGCAGAAGAUGAAUGCUGAGAACGAAUGGACAACAAAAAUUGGAUGGUGGUCAUUUUUUCCCAUUAUAUAACAAUCAUUUUUAUAGAAAAUGGUCAAAUAAUGCUUAUAAUUCUAAUACCUCUUAUUAAUAUUCACAAGCUAAUGGAUCCCACUCCAAGAAAGUGUUGUAACCACCAUCAUAAUAUUAUCACAGCCAUCAUUCUAAAACCAUUGCAUGCAUGAGCAGCAUCAUAUGAUAUCAGACCACCCUACAAAAUUCCUUAUCUAGGCAUAUGUCAAAACUAACAUGUUACUUGACAAAAUUGCUUCAAUCUAGCAUCGAGUAAUAGAUAUUAGACACUUUUCCACCUUUCAAAACAAAAAUAAAUGUUAAACAUAAUUCAACUUUUGCAAGACAAAGAUUAACCAUGUUUGCGAUGAAGAGAGAUUAAGAUACAUCUUGCAGCACACAAAUCACAAUUAACUCUCCUAAAAAAUACAUCAUCUAUAUACACUUUCAAUGCUUGUCCGCUGGUUUCCGCCUACCAAAAUAAUUAUCUUCAAGCCGUCUGAAUGGAGUUAAUCUAGUAGAAAAAAUAAAUUUCAUGUCAGAUUACUAUGAUUAAUACAGAAAGUGAAUAAAAAAAUAAUAAAAUAAAUCUUAUAUUUAUUUUUCUAGGGGAUAAAGGUAAAACAAAUAGCACCGCUAUGAUGGUAUUUAUUUUUCCAUGCUAAAUUAUCAAAUAAAGCUAAUCUUAAAAUAUCAUUUCUUAAUAAAAAAUAUCUGAUAUUAUAUAUCAAAUAAUCAAUAUUAAUUAUAUUAAUAUAUAUUAUAAUAAUAUUAUAUUAAUAUAUUAUAAAUAUAUUAAUAUAUUGAUGAAUAAGAAAUAUAUUUUAUAAUAUAUCUAAUUAAUUUAAAAAUAUUUAUUAAGUCAUAAAAAUAUAUUUUAAUGUUUGAAAUGGCCUCUAUAUAAAUAGACAAUAAAUGAACUGAGAAAAAUCAUAUAAUCAUCUGAACUAUUUAUCCAAGAGUAUUUUUUUGAAAAUUUGACAACAUACUCGUAUAAAAUUACAUUCAACCAAAUAUAACAUUUUUUUAUACUACUUUUUAGUAUAAUUUUUUUACUAAUAAAUAUGAUAACAUUUAUAUAUCAAUUAUUCCAUAAUUAUUCCAUAAUAUGAUAACAUUUAUAUAUGAUAAUUAGACGUACCAACCCGGGUUGAAAAAUCACAAACAAAUCCUACAGUCCGAUCUCCACUUCAUCCUCCGUCUCGUGAUUCGUGCUCAACCCCCUGAUGAGCCUCCAUCAUCCUCUCCGCCCAGGCCGUUCUCCUCCGCCGCCAAGAGCGACGGCGGCCGACUCCACGUGGGUGAGGAGGUACUCAUAGAUCUUCUUCCUGAGCCGCUCGAUCGUCUCCGGCGGUACGCCGUCUUCGUCGCCGCCUCCGUCGUCCCCCUCCUCCACUCCCCUCUGCCCGACGCCGUCCAGCCAAUCGUUCACCUUCUUGAGCUGAGACAGCAUCCCUGCCACCAGAGCCCGAUCCCACGGCCCGGAGGCCGCCACGUCGGCGUCCAAGAACCGCUCCACGAACCCUAAGAACCACGUCCUCGAGGAUUCCCUCAGCUCCCGCGCCAGCUCCGCCCCCUCCUCCAGCCCUUCUCCCGGGCCAACUCCCGCGGCGGCUGCGGCGGCGGCGGCAGCGGUACCGCCGCCCCCCGCGGCCUCCGGAUCGCCGCCGUGACCGAAGAAUUGGAAGAGACCGUCGCCACCGAUGACGGACGGGGCUUGAUCGGGGAGGCGGCAGGCUUCAAGGCCGCGGUGGAUCUGGCCGGGGACUCAAGGACGAGCGCCGCCGCGGGCUUCAUCGAGGGGGAUUUAGGGCGGUAGAGGGUAAAGGGGGAGAGGUCGGUGGCGAGGGCGGCGUGGACCCAGGAAGCGGCGAGCUUGCGGGUCUCGGAGGAGACCCGGAGGGCUUCUUCCUGGAUCGGGUCACCUCCCGCGGACAUGUCCGGUGAGGCUACCGUGGCGGGGGAGGCUUUGGAGAGGGCGUCGGAGAUGAGACCGGCGUGGGUGAGGGUGGCGUAGAGGUUCAGGAACUGCUCCACCGCAGGCUGAGGGUUAUUCUCCUCCGCAGAGGAUGUCAACUCCGCAUACAUACUGGUAAAAAAACAUACAUAUCUUUUCACCAAAAAACAUAUACUGGUAAAAAUAAACAAUUCCAAGUUAUAAAAAAUCACAAGCAAGUGGAUUUUGUAUUAGUUGCCGGCAUACUAAAUCAUCCUAUUUGUUAAAAAUUUGUGCAAUUGAGCAUGAACCUUUUAUUUGGUUGAUUCAUUAAUAAAUCACUCCAAUUGGAUGGUGCAAAAUAUUUACACUCAGUUGUGAAAAUUCAUGAGUUAUUGAGCUGUUUGUUUAAUUUAGUUGUUGCAGCAAUAAGUAGUUUUCGAAACCUUCAGAAGUUUUCUUCAAUGGUGAAUAAGCAUUUUAACUCGAAAACUUCGAGUACAUUAGGAAGUAGUAGGCUUUUUCAACAAAAAAAAAAAAAUCACAAGGAAGCACAGACACACAGAAGCAUUGUCCCCACUUCAUUGUUUCCAUUCCUAAAAUCACAAGCUCACACGAGGUCUACAAAGAAACAAAUGUUUUAGAUUUUAUUCUCUGCCAAUUUACCUGAAUUAUCUCCAACCUCUUGGUGCAUGCUCAGCAAGUUUCCAAUACAACUUAUCUAUGGCUUGAGGGGCCCAUUUUAACAGUUGGCAUUUUGGUUCCACUCAUUGUCGGUAGUUGUUUAUUCAAAGUCAUUAAUUGAGCUCAAACAUGCUUAAAUUAUGUUGGUAUAGAAGGUUAUGUAUCUAGUGUCUUUUCCAAAAAAAAAAAAGUAAAGAGAACAUGGGUUGCCAUGAGAGGAGGAGAAUAAACAUUCAGCUCAAAGCUUAGAUCUUUUUGCCAUAGAAGCAUCCACCGGAGGUAGACCUCGCAGGUUCAAUAAUACGAGUGGGGACCUAGUUUUCAUCUUAUGGCAGGCAAUUUUGUAAGCAUGGCCUACUUUUCAUGAAUCUUAAUACAAUUCAUGGUGUCUUCUUGGUCAAAGUGCUCGAUUGAUACAUUGCAAGAUGGAACCUUCAAUUGAUCCAUUUAUUCCUCCACGAUAGAUAUAUACUCGUUGUCAAGAGGAUUUCUUCUAGUUGGCAUCUACCUAAUGACACUAUUUAAACAUGUGCUCCCAUACCUUAGUAUUUUAGUUUGCACUGCUCUUUGAUUGAUUAGAGUCAAUGUUGACUUCUAAAUGUUCUCCAUAUCAGCUUCCACCCAACAUUNNNNNNNNNNNNNNNNNNNNUCCCAAGGGUACGCUUGGGGAGUGGACGUAGGUGCUAAGGAGAGCACCGAACCACUAUAUAUUGGUGUGUUUGCAUUGUGUUUGUGCUUUCAUUUUCCCUUGCUUUAUCUUCUAUUCUUGUAUUAGCUUAACUCACUCAAAUAACCUAAGAAAGCAUCCACCGCACUUAAUUACGAAAGUUUUUAAAAGCACUAAAAUUUAGAAGAAACCAAUUCACCCCCCCCCCCUCUUGGAUUGUCACCUUGGGCAACAUGUCUGCUCUCUCCUCUCUUCUAAUGCUCUUCUAAUGGCAUUAGAAGAGCAUCUGUCUUUACCUCUUUGGCUCUUAAAGUAGUCCGUCCUGAACUACACCAGCAGUUAAAUGACUCACACCACCUUGGCAAAUGACAUCUUUCCAUGCCGGCCGCAUGGCAUCCAUGUCAUGAAAUUAUGGCAUGCAUCCAAACCAAUUGCAAAUGGAAUCCAUGAUUUGGCAGCAUAUCAGUGAUCUUAGUAAUUUGACUUGUAUUCACUAUAAGAAUACCAUAUAUCUUUGAAGGCAACCAAAGUAGAGAUAUUUUAGAUAGGUAUUUUUCCAACUCUUUUACAGAAUGU
rnacentral:lncRNA from 1 species